GGAAGAACCUUCUCUCCCAUCCCUGCCAGGCUCCUUAGAGGCCCCAGGUGGUGCCCACACUGCAGGCUGGCCAAGGCCACAGGACUGUCCUGGAGGACACCCAUCUCAUCAGACCUCUGUGAUACUGAGGGGAGGAAAAUGGCUUUGGCAGUUUUGUGGGGCUGGGGAGACGUAGACGCAUACCUUUCAAAUCAAGCCAUGGCCUCAAUAGGAAAGGGAAAAGAAGAAGCCAGAGAAAACAGAGAACAGGCACCCGUGGGACUCACACCAUGCCAGCUCUAAGAGAAGGGAAGAAAGAAGCUACAGAAAGCAGGCACCCAGGCCGUUUAGCGGUGGGAUGCUCACCGCUUCAACUCAUUCCCAUCCUCGGGGACCAAGCUCCAAUCUCAGGAACGUGAGAGAAAUCUUCUACCCCCAAACCCAGAGGCUCCCUGUCUUCCAACAGGUAGCAGGCGCACAAUAAACAUGCACGCGGCCCAUCUGUGGCGCCCA